rnacentral:rRNA from 1 species
AGCAGCAGCCGCGGUAAAACAGAGGGUGCGAGCGUUAAUCGGAUUUACUGGGCGUAAAGCGUGCGUAGGCGGCUUCUUAAGUCGGAUGUGAAAUCCCUGAGCUUAACUUAGGAAUUGCAUUCGAUACUGGGAAGCUAGAGUAUGGGAGAGGAUGGUAGAAUUCCAGGUGUAGCGGUGAAAUGCGUAGAGAUCUGGAGGAAUACCGAUGGCGAAGGCAGCCAUCUGGCCUAAUACUGACGCUGAGGUACGAAAGCAUGGGGAGCAAACAGGAUUAGAUACCCGUGUAGUCCCUGUCUCUUAUAA